CUUCCUGAUUUGGUCUGUGCAUGGCAAGCUGAACUCCUUUCCUGACAUUUAUUCUCUCCCUGGCGGGUUAUUCCGGAAUCUCCAUAAGGAAGAUUAGACUCGUCGCUCCUGUUUUUCCUGAUCAAUCUUUCAAUAAAAACUUAUUCCUUUUA